GUAAGGAUCUUUCGUUUAUUUUAGUCGCUCUAUCUCCGCUAGUUUGCAGACUAAGAAAAACCGAGUUUAAAGUUGACGAACUUCUAUACGAUCGUGCGAAGUUAAGAUUUGAAAGAACCACAUAUUCGUUGCUCUCCAGAUGGAGUUAGAACAAUUAUUAAUUAGGCGAAAAUUAACAGUUAAAAUUACGGACGAAUCGAGUCGCUAUGGUUUUCAUUCCUUGUUCGUCAGGAGCCUCGCUAAGGAAGCACGUCUUCGUCGGUGAAGCUUAUAGCAUGGUCGCGAAGAAGCUUAUUUUUCAAUUGGAAUCAUAAAUUAUUAAGCAAUAACAUAGAAAUUUGCUUCAUCCCACGCUCAAUCGCCAAGGACGUGUCGUAAACUCGGUAUCUCCGCAGGGUAAUUUGGAAUUAUAUUACAGCGGUACAAGUUGCCGAACUUCCUCACCCGCAGAGAUAUCGUGAUCUUCUCGGAAAACUAACAUCUCGUGUUAGUUCAAGUAGCGACCCAUCUUUGCCAGUAGAAGGCGCGCCAAGAGCACGUGAAAGGCUGGUCAUGACACUCGCGGCAUUCACACCUCGAACACAGAAAAAGAUACUUGUUAACGUUCAAGCGGUUCAGAUAUUGAUCAACUUUCGCGCGACACAAACGUUGUUCAAACUUGGAACGCUACAGGCAUUUUUCAACUCUGUUACGAGCAAACUUAUACAUAUUCAUUGAAGACAUACGAAAGAAUACGCGCUGUAUUCGUUAUCAUGCGUUUUUUUUAUUAGAGUUCAGACUUUUAUGGAUCGUCAUUAUUGGAACAGCAAGCGUUCAGUUCUGUUCUUCCCUACGUGCUCAUAAUCUUGGCUGAUAACCGCCAUUCGCUAUAUACAUCGUUGGUAUCGACGUCAAAGGAUUAAUACAGACAAAUACGUCCGUACAAUCCGAUUUGAUUGAUUUUAGAUUUUGCAUCAAACAGAUCUCUAUAUAAACAGAUAAUUUCUGAUUCUAAA